rnacentral:rRNA from 1 species
GAUGAACGCUGGCGGCGUGCUUAACACAUGCAAGUCGAACGGAAAGGCUCCUGCUUGCAGGGGUACUCGAGUGGCGAACGGGUGAGUAACACGUGGGUGAUCUGCCCUGCACUUCGGGAUAAGCCUGGGGAACUGGGUCUAAUACCGGAUAGGACCACAUUUUGGAUGGUGUGGUGGAAAGUUUUUCGGUGUGGGAUGAGCUCGCGGCCUAUCAGCUUGUUGGUGGGGUAAUGGCCUACCAAGGCGUCGACGGGUAGCCGGCCUGAGAGGGUGUACGGCCACAUUGGGACUGAGAUACGGCCCAGACUCCUACGGGAGGCAGCAGUGGGGAAUAUUGCACAAUGGGCGCAAGCCUGAUGCAGCGACGCCGCGUGGGGGAUGACGGCCUUCGGGUUGUAAACUCCUUUCGCUAGGGACGAAGCGUUUUUGUGACGGUACCUGGAGAAGAAGCACCGGCUAACUACGUG